rnacentral:rRNA from 1 species
UACAGAGGGGGCAAGCGUUGUUCGGAAUUACUGGGCGUAAAGGGCGCGUAGGCGGCCUGCUAAGUCGAACGUGAAAUCCCUGGGCUCAACCCAGGAACUGCGUCCGAUACUGGUUGGCUUGAAUCCGGGAGAGGGACGUGGAAUUCCAGGUGUAGCGGUGAAAUGCGUAGAUAUCGGGAGGAACACCUGAGGCGAAGGCGGGCUACUGGGCCGAUACUGACGCUGAUGCGCGAAAGCCAGGGGAGCAAACGGG